rnacentral:rRNA from 1 species
AUACAGAGCGGCGCACGGGUGAGUAACGCGUGGGAACGUGCCCAUCGAUUCGGAAUAACUCAGGGAAACUUGUGCUAAUACCGAAUACGCCCCAAGGGGGAAAGAUUUAUCGUCGAUGGAGCGGCCCGCGUCCGAUUAGCUUGUUGGUGAGGUAAAAGCUCACCAAGGCGACGAUCGGUAGCUGGUUUGAGAGAACGAUCAGCCACACUGGGACUGAGACACGGCCCAGACUCC